rnacentral:rRNA from 1 species
AUUGAACGCUGGCGGCAGGCCUAACACAUGCAAGUCGAGCGGAUGAAGAGAGCUUGCUCUCUGAUUUAGCGGCGGACGGGUGAGUAAUGCCUAGGAAUCUGCCUGGUAGUGGGGGAUAACGUUCCGAAAGGAACGCUAAUACCGCAUACGUCCUACGGGAGAAAGCAGGGGACCUUCGGGCCUUGCGCUAUCAGAUGAGCCUAGGUCGGAUUAGCUAGUUGGUGAGGUAAUGGCUCACCAAGGCGACGAUCCGGAACUGGUCUGGGAGGAUGAUCAGUCACACUGGAACUGAGACACGGUCCAGACUCCUACGGGAGGCAGCAGUGGGGGAUAUUGGACAAUGGGCGAAAGCCUGAUCCAGCCAUGCCGCGUGUGUGAAGAAGGUCUUCGGAUUGUAAAGCACUUUAAGUUGGGAGGAAGGGCAGUAAGUUAAUACCUUGCUGUUUUGACGUUACCGACAGAAUAAGCACCGGCUAACUUCGUGCCAGCAGCCGCGGUAAUAC